rnacentral:rRNA from 1 species
AUUGAACGCUGGCGGCGUGCCUAACACAUGCAAGUCGAGCGGUAACAGGUGUAGCAAUACAUGCUGACGAGCGGCGGACGGGUGAGUAACGCUUGGGAAUCUGCCUGUUAGUGGGGGACAACACGGGGAAACUCGUGCUAAUACCGCAUACGCACUACGGUGGAAAGCCGGGGACCGCAAGGCCUGGCGCUACAGAUGAG